UUGAGUAUUUUGACUCUUAUUCAUCAAUAGUAAUCUGAUUUAUAUAAUUAUAAUAGUUUUGAUUUUCAUAAGUAUAACUGAAUUUGUUAUUGAGUUGGAAAAAUCAGAUUUUUUUGUUUAAGUAAAAGAUUGAAUCUUUCAUAUUGUAAUAUAUAUUGAGAUGUGAUAUGAAACUUAAUAAUCAAUUUAUGGCUUCUUUCAUCUUUUGUUAGAAUAUAAUAUGUAGAAGUACUUAAAUCAGGUUUUUAGUUUAAUAUAGGUUGUGAGCUGAAUUUUAUUGAACAUUGUUGUGUGAUCGAUUAGGGGUAGAAUUAUGAUUCUAAGCCAUGUAAAAUCAAUUGGCAGAGUUGAGGAUUCAAGAAUUGGAAUCUUGAUUUUAGAUAAUGUAGGAAAUGGAAUUGGUUAUGGUGUUGCUUCCUAGUUUCAGAAUACUUUGAGGAUAGUUAAUAAUUAUUGUCAUUGUGGGCAUGUUAAGUUAUUUGUUAUCUCUUUGGAAAGAUGGUAAUUGAAUGAGAUUAGUUUGAGAAUCCUAAUUAAUUAUGCUAUUUUUGGUUUGAGGUGAUUAUUGUGGAGUUCAAGCUGGAUUUGGAUGAAUUAUGAUUCUUGGAGGUCUCGUAUUAUUGUUAUUAAAUUUAUCUUGAAGUGAUCAUCGUUGAGGUUUGUAUUGGGAGCAUAGUGGAUCAGAAAUAAAGAAUUGGUGAUAAAAAUGAAGUUAGAUAUAGAUAUAUAAUUGUUGAAUAUUAAGCUCUCAUUUGAUAUUUAAGUAUUGUACUGUUUUGGGAUUUGAGUAAUGUAUUAUAAAUCAGGUAUUGGUUUGAGGACGAUGUGUUGUGGGCCCUGACCCACAGGUCCAGGAUCGUUUUAUAGCUAUGUUUUCCGCUGCGAGUUAAUGUAAUUCGAGGUUAUUAAGUGUUAAUUGAAUUUUA